rnacentral:lncRNA from 1 species
CCCACUCAAAACAAGCGUUUCCAAACUCAAAAAUGCAGCAACAAGUGGCAGUGUUUGAACAGCUGUAGUAAUUGUCACAAACAUUUGGUGGCUUCACGGGUGAAGGGGGUGAGGGUCCAGGAUUGGGUGGGUUUGGACUACUCUUAACAGGGUAAGAUGGCUCAAUUGCAAUUCCACACUUUCCUGAUCUGCUGUUACCCAGAUUUCUUUCCAUUCUAAUGUAUCCUCCCUCUCCCCAAUCAGCACCCCAUGAAUUCCUCACAAUCCAAUAAUCAUGACCGUUUUCUGUACCAUACCCAACAGCCACAACACCAUGAUCUAGAUCUGUUCCACAUCUUCCGCUGAAGACACCCUGACAAAUAUGAAAUAUACUGAUUAAAAAAUAUUGUGAACAUUGCAAAACCAAUUUUGUUUAAAAUUGAAUAGGGAGAGAGUGAAAGUUUGUAUGUUAUAAUCAAAAGCAAAAA